CACGCGGAUGGACAGACUGAUAGACAUCGACACACGGACACGCGGGGAGAUGGAUGGAUGGAUGGAUAGCCAGACAGAUGCACAGACUAAUCAUCGGAUGGACGGACGGAUAGCGACAGGCAGACAGACGUCGACAUGGGUGGAUACGUCGAUAGAUGGACGGACAGACCGACGUGCGGAUGGAUGGGCACCUAGCGUCAGAGGAAGCGCGCUUCAACUUGUCCUGCAUCUGUCUUAUCAACUUCGGUCGGUCUCCACCUGUGGAUCUCAGGCAGGUGCCACAGCAACCUAGGGCGCCUCGAGAGCCUUUCAUGGGAGCUGCAGGGUGGCACGGUUAGGAUGACAAGAUAAACCCAGAGAUUUCCCAUAGAAAUGCAUCACUGGGCUCUUUCUGAGUUCAUUGCAACAGAAAAAAAUAAAGAUCUAUUUUUUUUUUCUGUAGUCAGAAAAGAGUGAAAACUAAGAGCUGGCAUUUCAGAAGUGGGGCUUGAGUCUACCUAGGGGUGCCUCGAGUCUAAAGAAGGUCAAGAACCACUGGUCUAUCAGGUGGUUACGCACAUCUCUGUCUCUUACAAGAUCAACCCACAAUCCAUAGUGUUAAAACUAUUCAGCCCUGCGGUAUUCGGUCUUGCCGAGUUCUUUGCAACAGAAGAAUUGCUCUAGGAUUUCUCUGUAGUCAAAAAACAAGGGGAAACUUCUUAGCUGGCACUUGUUGGGGGGGCCCCUUGAGUCUAACAAGGGCGAGAACCGCCGUGCUAGUCGGCAAGAAAGAGGCUGCUCCCCAGGACCUUGCAAUCAACAGGCAAGACAGAAGCAGGCUGUACUUCUACUUACGUACAGCCUGCACUCAGAUGUGGUGUGGUUGUCUAUCGCAUCUUCCACCAGCCAUAUUUGCCGGUGCUUGUGUUGCCCUAGAGAGAUGGCUUAUGGUCUGCAGUCACCAGCAAUACCUGUGGGAUUUCAGCCCUGAUUUCAUCCUUUUUUUGCAAUGGAGAAAACUUUGAAAGCUGGAACGCAAGUGUUGGGGGGCUUUCUCCCAAAGGAGCAAGCGCUGACUAGGACACAGGAUAUUUGAUGGAAAGAGGAAGAAAAGUUUGAUCCCCCCCACCCCCAACAAAAAAAAAACAGCAUCUGAAAUUUUCCAUGUUCAGGUUUCUCCCCUCCCUGGUUGAAAAACUUGUUGGGACAACUUGGAAACAAAGCUGUGGUUUUACAGGUGAAAAUAAAACAGGCCAGGCUCGGGACUGUCACCGGGCGCGCAUUGCCAAUCACUCAAAU